GAUGAACGCUGGCGGCGUGCCUAAUACAUGCAAGUCGAGCGAACAGACGAGGAGCUUGCUCCUCUGACGUUAGCGGCGGACGGGUGAGUAACACGUGGAUAACCUACCUAUAAGACUGGGAUAACUUCGGGAAACCGGAGCUAAUACCGGAUAAUAUAUUGAACCGCAUGGUUCAAUAGUGGAAGACGGUUUUGCUGUCACUUAUAGAUGGCUCCGCGCCGCAUUAGCUAGUUGGUAAGGUAACGGCUUACCAAGGCAACGAUGCGUAGCCGACCUGAGAGGGUGAUCGGCCACACUGGAACUGAGACACGGUCCAGACUCCUACGGGAGGCAGCAGUAGGGAAUCUUCCGCAAUGGGCGAAAGCCUGACGGAGCAACGCCGCGUGAGUGAUGAAGGUCUUCGGAUCGUAAAACUCUGAUAUUAGGGAAGAACAAAUGUGUAAGUAACUAUGCACGUCUUGACGGUACCUAAUCAGAAAGCCACGGCUAACUACGUG
rnacentral:rRNA from 1 species